UACGUAGGCAGCAAGCGUUGUUCGGAGUUACUGGGCGUAAAGCGUGCGCAGGCGGUGAGCUGUGUCCGAUGUGAAAGCCCCGGGCUUAACCUGGGAAUGGCAUUGGAACUGGCUCGCUGGAGUGUGGCAGAGGGGGGUGGGAAUUCCGCGUGUAGCAGUGAAAUGCGUAGAGAUGCGGAGGAACACCGAUGGCGAAGGCAGCCCCUGGGCUAACACUGACGCUCAGGCACGAAAGCGUGGGGAGCAAACAGG
rnacentral:rRNA from 1 species